CCAACUCCAUCUGACACCCGGACAGGGCCAGCCUGUCACCUCACAGUGUGAGUGUCACACUGACCAACUCCACCCCACAGCUGCAUCCCCCCAGAUGUACCCAGAGGAUCUUGCACCUUUGGGGUCAGGCAGGCUCCUGAGCUCAGGGCAGGAGAAGCAGUGAUGCUGAGCAAGUCAGAGCAUCAAAGGAAGGUCGACCAUUGACUCACCUCACAGUCCUGUGCACACUGCUGGGCAGAGAGGCUUUUGCCAGCUGUGUCCACACACUACAGAGAUGAUCAUCUUGGAGGGACAGUAAAAUGUUGGCAUCUGGAGGCACAAGGAAACUGGAUGGGAGAGAGCUCAUGUCAAGACAGCGUGUACCAACACACCUUCCCACGGUGAGGUGAAGGGCAGGAGGAUGGAUGUGUGUCUCUCCAUGGAAGUGUUCCCAAACAAGGUCCUUCAGCUGGGGAGCUCAUUCCUUCUUGAUGGUGACAGAACACUUUGCAUUGCAGUGAUUGCUGCAUUUCACUCAAAACACUCCCAGUGAUUACUGAAAUGAGAGGCUGGAAGAAGACACACAGACACACACACCAGUAAAGUGGUGACAAGGAAAGCAAAUUGUAGUAAUUAUCUUGCAGCCAGGAAUUUAGCGAAGGUGUGCCUAAUGCCUGAGCUCUGUGCUAACAGCCCUGGCU